rnacentral:lncRNA from 1 species
GUCUCUCCUCCUCACAGAAGCCUGGAGCUGGGCAUCCAAGAAGAAGCAGCCUCAUUUGUUUUCUGGUGUCAUCGUAGGUGGCCACCUAUGGCUUUUGGGCUUCUCACCUGGGGCGGGUGGGUUCUGCACCACCCUCCCACCCUCCUUCCUCCGUGUGGACGAUAGAGCCACAUCCAGCACCACGGACAGCUCCCGGGCGAUCCCAUGGGAGUAGAAGAGGUGUGAGCAGGUUGCCCAGCUGGUUAGCGGAAAUGCCAAGAUCCAGGCUCCUGAAUUUCAGCCUGGCCCUUUCUAUCUGUCUGAUACCUCCUUUACGAGUCUCUCUGCCUGCGUUGUGUGGAGCGGGCCUGCUGCUGGUUGGGGGAGUUUGCAGGUUGCCCCUAUGCAAAAAAGGACAGGAUGCAUGACUGGCAUCCUUCAUCUCCUCGUCCUCCAGGCAGCACAAGCCAUUGUGGAAUCUCCACCAGGUGUACAGAACGGUGCCUCUGCGUCCUGCCACUCAGGACCUCUCAAGUCCCCGAUGUGAUGGCUCCUCA